rnacentral:piRNA from 1 species
GUAAAAGAGCCUGCAGAACAUAACA